AGUGAACGCUGGCGGUAGGCCUAACACAUGCAAGUCGAACGGCAGCACAGUAAGAGCUUGCUCUUACGGGUGGCGAGUGGCGGACGGGUGAGGAAUACAUCGGAAUCUACUUUUUCGUGGGGGAUAACCUAGGGAAACUUACGCUAAUACCGCAUACGACCUACGGGUGAAAGCAGGGGAUCUUCGGACCUUGCGCGAUUGAAUGAGCCGAUGUCGGAUUAGCUAGUUGGCGGGGUAAAGGCCCACCAAGGCGACGAUCCGUAGCUGGUCUGAGAGGAUGAUCAGCCACACUGGAACUGAGACACGGUCCAGACUCCUACGGGAGGCAGCAGUGGGGAAUAUUGGACAAUGGGCGCAAGCCUGAUCCAGCCAUACCGCGUGGGUGAAGAAGGCCUUCGGGUUGUAAAGCCCUUUUGUUGGGAAAGAAAAGCAGCAGGUUAAUACCCCGCUGUUCUGACGGUACCCAAAGAAUAAGCACCGGCUAACUUCGUG
rnacentral:rRNA from 1 species